ACCCCAAUUGGACUAGUUGC
rnacentral:miRNA from 1 species